GACGAACGCUGGCGGCGUGCUUAACACAUGCAAGUCGAACGGAAAGGCCCUGCUUUUGUGGGGUGCUCGAGUGGCGAACGGGUGAGUAACACGUGAGUAACCUGCCCUUGACUUUGGGAUAACUUCAGGAAACUGGGGCUAAUACCGGAUAGGAGCUCCUGCUGCAUGGUGGGGGUUGGAAAGUUUCGGCGGUUGGGGAUGGACUCGCGGCUUAUCAGCUUGUUGGUGGGGUAGUGGCUUACCAAGGCUUUGACGGGUAGCCGGCCUGAGAGGGUGACCGGCCACAUUGGGACUGAGAUACGGCCCAGACUCCUACGGGAGGCAGCAGUGGGGAAUAUUGCAAAAUGGGCGGAAGCCUGAUGCAGCAACGCCGCGUGCGGGAUGACGGCCUUCGGGUUGUAAACCGCUUUCGCCUGUGACGAAGCGUGAGUGACGGUAAUGGGUAAAGAGGCACCGGCUAACUACGUG
rnacentral:rRNA from 1 species